UCAUAGAAUUUAUUCAAAUUCAUGAUGUCGUAAGGGAAAAUAAUGAUAAUACCUUACUAUGAGUGUCGUCCAAAUCUGGUGCCAGAAGACUCGGUAAGACCAGAGACGCAAACGUUAAUCAUCAUAAACAGGCGUAAAGGGUUUGUAGGCAGCUUUUAUAAGAUAAAAAUCUAAAUUGAAAGCUAGAAUCAAAAAGAGGUUAUAGUGUAUAACGCCUAGAGGAGGGCUGAUAUCCAUAGAUCCUAGGCAGAAUACUCAGGGCGAAGGCCACUCUCCACUAAUGAUUGACGCUGAGAAACGAAGGUUAGGGUAGGAAAUAGGAUUAGAUACCCCGGUACUCCUUUCUGUAAACGAUGAAUGGUAGUCAUUAGUUUUAAUAAAUAACUAGAGGCGAAGUUAACACAAUAACCAUUCCGCCUUGUGAGUACUACUGCAAAGUAGAAAACAAAAAAAUUAGUCGGUCUCGAAGCAAACGGAGUGAAGCAUGUUAUUUA
rnacentral:rRNA from 1 species